rnacentral:rRNA from 1 species
CCUACGGGUGGCAGCAGUGAGGAAUAUUGGUCAAUGGGCGGAAGCCUGAACCAGCCAAGUAGCGUGCGGGAUGAAGGCCCUACGGGUCGUAAACCGCUGGUGCACGGGGAGAACACCCUCCACUUGUGGAGGUCUGCAGGUACCGUGCGAAUAAGGGCCGGCUAAUUCCGUGCCAGCAGCCGCGGUAAUACGGCAGGCCCGAGCGUUAUCCGGAUUCAUUGGGCUUCAAGGGCGCGUAGGCGGGCGUUCAAGUCAGCGGGAAAAUCGCGCGGCUCAACCGCGCCCCGCAGUUGAAACUGGACGCCUUGCGUUCACCACAGGCAGGCGGAAUUCUUGGUGUAGCGGU